rnacentral:rRNA from 1 species
GACGAACGCUGGCGGCGUGCUUAACACAUGCAAGUCGAACGGAAAGGCCUUUUCGGAGGUACUCGAGUGGCGAACGGGUGAGUAACACGUGGGUGAUCUGCCCUGCACUCUGGGAUAAGCCUGGGAAACUGGGUCUAAUACCGGAUAGGACCGCACUUUAGUGUGUGUGGUGGAAAGUUUUUUCGGUGUAGGAUGAGCCCGCGGCCUAUCAGCUUGUUGGUGGGGUAAUGGCCUACCAAGGCGGCGACGGGUAGCCGGACUGAGAGGUUGGUCGGCCACAUUGGGACUGAGAUACGGCCCAGACUCCGACGGGAGGCAGCAGUGGGGAAUAUUGCACAAUGGGCGCAAGCCUGAUGCAGCGACGCCGCGUGGGGGAUGACGGCCUUCGGGUUGUAAACUCCUUUCGCCAGGGACGAAGCGUUUUGUGACGGUACCUGGAGAAGAAGCACCGGCUAACUACGUG